AGCGAACGCUGGCGGCAGGCCUAACACAUACAAGUCGAACGAACCUUUCGGGGUUAGUGGCGGACGGGUGAGUAACACGUGGGAACGUGCCUUUAGGUUCGGAAUAACUCAGGGAAACUUGUGCUAAUACCGAAUGUGCCCUUCGGGGGAAAGAUUUAUCGCCUUUAGAGCGGCCCGCGUCUGAUUAGCUAGUUGGUUGAGGUAAUGGCUCACCAAGGCGACGAUCAGUAGCUGGUCUGAGAGGAUGAUCAGCCACAUUGGGACUGAGACACGGCCCAAACUCCUACGGGAGGCAGCAGUGGGGAAUCUUGCGCAAUGGGCGAAAGCCUGACGCAGCCAUGCCGCGUGAAUGAUGAAGGUCUUAGGAUUGUAAAAUUCUUUCACCGGGGACGAUAAUGACGGUACCCGGAGAAGAAGCCCCGGCUAACUUCGUG
rnacentral:rRNA from 1 species